UACGUAGGGGGCGGGCGUUGUCCGGAAUCAUUGGGCGUAAAGAGCGUGUAGGCGGCCCGAUUAGUCCGCUGUGAAAGUCCAGGGCUCAACCCUGGAAUGCCGGUGGAUACUGUCGGGCUAGAGUCCGGAAGGGGCGAGUGGAAUUCCUGGUGUAGCGGUGAAAUGCGCAGAUAUCAGGAGGAACACCAAUGGCGAAGGCAGCUCGCUGGGACGUGACUGACGCUGAGACGCGAAAGCGUGGGGAGCAAACAGG
rnacentral:rRNA from 1 species